CCCCCCGUAGCUCAAUGGAUAGAGCGGCCAAUUCACGAGUGGCGAGGUUGCAGGUUCAAGUCCUGCCGGGGGGA
rnacentral:tRNA from 1 species